rnacentral:rRNA from 1 species
UACAGAGGGUGCGAGCGUUGUCCGGAAUCACUGGGCGUAAAGGGCGCGUAGGCGGCCACCGCAAGUCGACUGUGAAAUCUCCGGGCUUAACCCGGAACGGUCAGCCGAUACUGCGGGGCUAGAGUGCAGAAGGGGCAACUGGAAUUCUCGGUGUAGCGGUGAAAUGCGUAGAUAUCGAGAGGAACACCUGCGGCGAAGGCGGGUUGCUGGGCUGACACUGACGCUGAGGCGCGAAAGCUAGGGGAGCGAACGGG